rnacentral:rRNA from 1 species
AUACAGAGGGUGCAAGCGUUAAUCGGAAUUACUGGGCGUAAAGCGCGCGUAGGCGGCUUGAUUAGUCGGAUGUGAAAGCCCCGGGCUCAACCUGGGAAUUGCAUUCGAUACUGUCAGGCUAGAGUAUGGUAGAGGGUAGUAGAAUUCCUGGUGUAGCGGUGAAAUGCGUAGAUAUCAGGAGGAAUACCAGUGGCGAAGGCGGCUACCUGGACCAAUACUGACGCUGAGGUGCGAAAGCGUGGGGAGCAAACAGGAUUAGAAACCCUUGUAGUCC